AAAAUAUAUACAUAUAAAAAUAUGCUAACAUCUCUAAGGAAGACAGACUGGCCACUGCUUCCUAUUCAAUACAGGAGCAAACAAAACGCGGUUAACACACCAUUUCACACACACACCAUUGCCACAGUUCCUGUGGGACCUUCGGGGAAAAAGCAACAAUGCAUCUUGUCAGAAGUGCCAGAUACCUAGCUACACAAACACAAACACACACACACAAAUAGCAGCACAUAAAAAUAGAAAAAGUCUACUUUUAUUUAUUGGUAAACAUAAGACAACCAAGUCUGAGCAUCUGGUGCAGUUCCCAGUGACGGCACUUGCCCUGCACACGCUCUUGAAGCACCAGGAAAAACACACAACACAGUAAGAAGGCAAAGUGGCUGGGAGUAAGGUAUCUGCAGAUUCAAACUUUGGGAUUGAAGUAGCUGGUAAACAGAAAGGCACCGAAUCAGGGUCUGGAGAGACCCGGCUGCUGGGGAGGAAUCUGGCCUGCCCAGGCAGACAGGGACAGACAUCCUCAUUUCUCCAACAGCUCCUGGAAGCCGAGUCACCCCAAGGGCUUGGAGAGCUGUUAGUCUGGCUUUGGAGCAGUGAAGGUAGCACAGUGCUCAGCAGGAAGGAGUCAAGACUUUGCUGUCGAGCACAGGGAGGCUGGUGCCUGAGGCCCAGCGUGCCAGGAUCCACGCCUCCUCCCAGGCUGCGCAGUGAGCUGGAAUCUCUCCCUCUCCUGUGGGAGCAGCUCUUCCCCUUACUGUCUGCUUCCAGCUCUGGCCUAGCUAUCUGGGACUCUUAGCCCUUCAAUUCGCUGAGGUGGGCACCAUUCCUGCUGCAGCCAACAUGGCCACUGUGGGCUGGCCCCCAGCUGGCAUAUGGAUGGCCCUCAACGAAGCCAUGGACAUGGGUCCCUCCCCAAAGGCACACUGUUAAAAAGAUCAAUUUGGCUACACCAAGGCCACCUCUUCCUAUUUGGCACGGUGAGGUACUGGGGGGUCUUGCAGUCUGGUAGGCCUGCCCCCCGCAAACCAGAGCCCAUUCUCAAAGUCCGGGCUGCUCCAUGGAAUCAGGAGUGCCUCCCUAUAGUCAGGCACUGGAAUGUAGCCCCAUGCCUGCUGGCGGACUCCAUCCAAUCAGAGGAACAGAAAGCACCCACCCCACCCUCUUUUAUUUUUGGCAUCACAAAGACCUAGUGACCAGAUUGCCUGCCGCUGCCACCUCUGGGCUGCCCUGCCUUGCUGCCCAAGCUGCUCUCAGAACAGAAAUCCUGAUACUGGUCAGAAGCCAUACAAGGUAGCUCCCAGACAUGACCACCUAGAGGCAGCUCACAGUCUUGAGUCAGGGGCCUCAGGGCCGAGGCUGACAGAUCCAGCUUCCCGGGGCCCUCUACCAGGCGGGCCCCCUAGACUUUGUCCAGCUUCCCCAAUGGCACAGGUCUAGUUUUUCAGCUGGAAAAGAGCCAAGCAGGGAACCCCUAAAGGUGAGGGGGAUUGUCAGGGAAAAUGAUACUCCUCAAGGAAUGCCUCAUCCACUUGGGCAGGGCCCCACACAGGAGGUAGGGAGUUGUUGGCUGGACCCACGGCCAACACCUGCAGCACAGGCAGAGCCGGCAGACGGGCCCAUGGACACCCAAGUGCCAGCACUGCUGUCCAGGUCUCUGGGGCAGUCUGUGGGCCAUAAUUAGGAUGAAGCCAGUCCUUUACUAGCAGAAGUCACGCAGGCCAGGGAGGAGCAGUUCAAACUCAGCAACAACGCAGCCAUGAAGAAGCCCGCUCUGUUCAAGACAGUCACCUGGAGCCACAGGUGCCACCGGGUUUCCUGAGGCAAGAGGGGAGAGCAAAGAGGCCUGCAGAGAAGAGGAUGACGUGGAGGAAGAGGAGGAACUGCUGGACUUGGAUUUGGAGGGAGCUUCGGGUUCCUGGAAAGAUAAAGGAGAAGUUGGCCGGGCGCGGUGGCUCACGCCUGUAAUCCCAGCACUUUGGGAGGCCGAGGCAGGUGGAUCACCUGAGGUCAGGAGUUCAAGACCAGCCUGGCCAACACAGUGGAGCCCUGUUUCUACUAAAAAUACAAAAAUUAGCCGGGUGUUGUGGCGCGCACCUGUAGUCCCAGCUACUGCAGAGGCUGAGGCAGGAGAAUUGCUUGAAAUCGGGAGGUGGAGGCUGCAGUGAGCCAAGAUUGUGCCACUGAACUCCAGCCUGGGCGACAGAGCGAGACUACGUCUCAAAAAAAAAAAAGAUAAAGGAGAAGGUGUCACACCUCCACUGCCUGCUCCCAGGGUCCAGAGCGCCAUGCUGUCCCCAAGGAACACUGGGCACCUUGCAGCCAUCAACUCCUGUGGCUUCCAGACCAGAGAGGCAGUCAGGUAGGAGCAACUUCUCAC
rnacentral:lncRNA from 1 species